rnacentral:rRNA from 1 species
AACGUAGGUUCCGAGCGUUAUCCGGAUUUACUGGGCGUAAAGCGCGUUCAGGCGGUUCGGCAAGUCGGGCAUGAAAUCUCUCGGCUCAACCGGGAGAGGUUGUCCGAUACUGUUGGACUUGAGGGCAGUAGAGGGUGGUGGAAUUCCGGGUGUAGUGGUGAAAUGCGUAGAUAUCUGGAGGAAUACCGGUGGCGAAGGCGGCAUCCUGGACCGGCAUUGACGCUGAGGAGCGAAAGCCAGGGGAGCAAACGGG